ACCCACAAAGAGUAAUCUGCCAUCUCAGCCCCAGUUCUGCUCUGUCGCUUUGUGAUUUGAGUCGCCUCAGAUAUUUAAGGCCACGCGUUAGAAAGACAAUAGCAUUUUAUAACCAGAAGACACAUUUUCAGGUUAUGUUUUACAAAUCAGAUUGAAAUGAGAAAAAAACACCCUAAAUGUUAAAUUCUCCAAAUAAAAUGUCUGUUUAGCUGAGGGGCUUAACAGCAGCAAGCUCUGGAGGAUCACUUUCUUUAAAUCAAUUAUGAUCGAUACAAGCCAGAUGGCCAGGCUGUCACACAGGGUAGAGCUGUCGGGAUGGUAAGGUCACUGCAUCUGUCAAUGGGAAGCUGCUGCUAAGGUGUCACAAAGGGAACUUCUGUGCCCACGGCCCAUCUACUGCAGGACAGCAUCAGGGACCAAGGCGUGCAGUGAAGGAACGAGAUCAGGUUACCACAUCCGACAGUGUUUAUCAAAUUGUCCUUUGCCACAUUUAGAGAAAGAAAUUAUCCAGCACUGGAUAAAAGAAGGAAAAUGUGCUCAAUGAACUGUAUGAAGAGCUCAGUGAUCAGAUAAAAGAACACCUGGGCUUCCAGUAGAAGAUAAAAUUCAUGGUAACUUACACAGUUUUCCUUCUCUCCUGCUGUUCUUGGUAUCCUAAUGGGAGCAUCAGGCAUUGCAGUAAGAACUGGAAGAAUUAGAACAACUAUAGAACAUUCUAAUAGUCUCAGAGCUGCUACACAUGGCUUCUUCUGACCCAUCCUGAUGCUGGCUAACAACCAGGCUAUCAAGCAGCAUCUUUGGAAGCCAAACAAUGCACUAAAACUUGGAUUUUGGUUGGAAGCUCUGAUAUUUUUCUUUACUUUUCUAUUAGACGCUUUUCCAUUGGGUUGCAAGUUUUGCAACUUGACUUGUGAAAUACAGAAAUUAUAUUAAAAAGUCAAUACAGUUGUUUCAGUUUGCUUGACUACUACCCAUACUGCUAUGAAUGCUCCCAA